UAGGGAAUCUUCCGCAAUGGACGAAAGUCUGACGGAGCAACGCCGCGUGAGUGAUGAAGGCUUUCGGGUCGUAAAACUCUGUUGUUAGGGAAGAACAAGUGCUAGUUGAAUAAGCUGGCACCUUGACGGUACCUA
rnacentral:rRNA from 1 species